rnacentral:rRNA from 1 species
GGACCCGCACAAGUAGUGGAGCAUGUGGUUUAAUUCGAAGAUACGCGCAGAACCUUACCAACACUUGACAUGUUCGUCGCGACUUUAAGAGAUUAAAGUUUUCGGUUCGGCCGGACGAAACACAGGUGCUGCAUGGCUGUCGUCAGCUCGUGUCGUGAGAUGUUGGGUUAAGUCCCGCAACGAGAGCAACCCUCACUUUUAGUUGCCAUCAUUAAGUUGGGCACUCUGAAAGAACUGCCAGUGAUAAGCUGGAGGAAGGUGGGGAUGACGUCAAGUCCUCAUGGCCCUUACGUGUUGGGCUACACACGUGCUACAAUGGCGUUGACAGUGGGCAGCUAGACCGCGAGGUCAUGCUAAUCUCUAAAAGACGUCUCAGUUCGGAUUGUUCUCUGCAACUCGAGAGCAUGAAGGCGGAAUCGCUAGUAA